CUAAAUAAUUUUGGAGUAUCUCAUAAAACAAGCAAACAAGAUAUUAAAGUAUUUUGUAUAAUGAAGAAAUACUUUUAUUUAAUUAACAUUAUUUCUGCUCUUUAUCCAGGUUUGAUAACUGGAGAUUCAGUCACUAAUAUUAAAAGUGAUAUCAUAGGAAUAGAAGGAGGUGAGGUUACACUCCAGUGCAGCUACUCAACAAGUAGUAGCUAUGCUUAUUUAUACUGGUACCGAAAGUAUAUAAACCAUGGCAUGCAAUAUAUUUUGUACAAAGGAGCUGGCACGGCUAGUUCAGCUGGAAAUACUGCACCAUUUGCUGAGGGACGAUUUUCUUCCACAACUGGACAAAAUUUCACUGAACUCAAAAUUUCUCUCCUCUCUUUGAGUGAUGCUGCUACCUAUUUCUGUGCCAUGAGAACCACUGCAUUACAUUCUACUUACACACUCAACAAAAACUCUCUUACCACAACUAACAGAUCUUUCACACUUUUCAAGAUUAUGGUUUGGCGGAUUUAUCAGUCAUACUUGGGCAUUAAAUUGCAUGCUAGGUUGGUAUGA